rnacentral:rRNA from 1 species
UACAGAGGGUGCGAGCGUUAAUCGGAAUUACUGGGCGUAAAGCGUGCGCAGGCGGUUUUGUAAGUCUGUCGUGAAAUCCCCGGGCUCAACCUGGGAAUUGCGAUGGAGACUGCAAGGCUAGAAUCUGGCAGAGGGGGUAGAAUUCCACGUGUAGCAGUGAAAUGCGUAGAGAUGUGGAGGAACACCGAUGGCGAAGGCAAUCCCCUGGACCUGUACUGACGCUCAUGCACGAAAGCGUGGGGAGCAAACAGG